CGUGCGCUGCUUACCUGCAGUCGAGCGGUAAGGCCCCUUCGGGGGUACACGAGCGGCGAACGGGUGAGUAACACGUGAGCAACCUACCCUCAACUUCGGGAUAAGCCUCGGAAACGGGGUCUAAUACCGGAUAUCACUUCCUGCUUCAUGGUGGGGGGUUGAAAGUUCUGGCGGUUGGGGAUGGGCUCGCGGCCUAUCAGCUUGUUGGUGGGGUAAUGGCCUACCAAGGCGUCGACGGGUAGCCGGCCUGAGAGGGCGACCGGCCACACUGGGACUGAGACACGGCCCAGACUCCUACGGGAGGCAGCAGUGGGGAAUAUUGCGCAAUGGACGGAAGUCUGACGCAGCAACGCCGCGUGAGGGAUGACGGCCUUCGGGUUGUAAACCUCUUUCAGCAGGGACGAAGCGAGAGUGACGGUACCUGCAGAAGAAGGACCGGCCAACUACGUGCCAGCAGCCGCGGUAAU
rnacentral:rRNA from 1 species